rnacentral:tRNA from 1 species
GGAAGAGCGUCAUCUCCGGUGGGGUGCGCGGCCUUCAAAGCCGUUGAGGUGCGAAUACGCGCCUGGUGGGUUCGACUCCUACCUCUU